rnacentral:lncRNA from 1 species
GUCGUAAGGCAGCACAGGGACAGACAGCACCACCCCGGAGUCAGACCGUUGGGAUCCAGUUCUGUCCCCAAACUGACCACUCCGUGCCUUUGCCUGCUGGGCAGCCCUUGCACUUGUUUUGGCGGGAGCCCCGGUUUCUGCCCCUUCGACACUCCGGGGCUGUGCGGCUCAGCCACGGGACUGUCCUGGCCCAGGCCUCCAGGCGGGCACGUGGCUGGUCCGUCAGAACAUGCACACCUCGUGGGUCCAGGCAGGGGACAAGACCCAAGCCGGCCAAGCCAGCCAGCCCCGGGCUUUUCCGGGAGAAGCCCGCUGUUCUUUCUGCUGCCCAAGGGCAAAGGGAAGGAGGGAAGCAGACCUGGGAGACGGAGAGGAGAGACGUUUCCAGAUGGCACCACUGGGGAAUCUGGAUCCAACUGUGCCUGAGGCCCGGCUCUAAUCCGGAGUGCCUGUCAUCCUGGAAUGACUCUGCGCUGGAUGCUGUCUACCCACAUCACCCAGACAAGGAAUCUGCGGCCCAGAGUGGAGUGACCUGCCCCAAGUCCCACGGCGAGUCAGUGGCCAAGCGGGUGAGCGCACGACACACUGUGAUCAGUGUGACAGGACGGAGGUGUGCGCAAGGUGUGGGGCCAUGCGAACACGGAACAUUCCAGCCGUGAAAGGAGAUCCCACCGCGCCGGAGGUGUGGAUGAGCCUUGAGGACAUCAGGAGGAGUGAGCGAGCCACACCCAGAAAGACGGAGGCAGUGUGACUCCGCUGGUGACAGCGUCCCUUGAGUCGUCACACUCACAGAGGCAGAGAGCAGGACGGAGGUGGGGGCGGGGCGGGGAGCAAGGGGUGCGUGUCUCGUGGGUGCCGAGUUUCCGUCUGGGAACAGGAAGAAGCUCGGAGAGCACGGUGGUGACGCUGCAGGACAGUAUGAAUGUACUUACUGCCACUGUUCACUAAAAAGAGGUAAAAACGGUCAAUUAUAUGUGAUGUCUGACCACAAUAAAAAUAAUUAAAUUAAAAAAAAAAACAAACAGGCA